AGAACGAACGCUGGCGGCGCGCCUAAUACAUGCAAGUCGAGCGAGAAGACGUAGCAAUACGUUUGUAAAGCGGCGAACGGGUGAGGAAUACAUGGGUAACCUACCCUCGAGUGGGGAAUAACUAGCCGAAAGGUUAGCUAAUACCGCGUACGCUCCUUGGACUUCGGUUCAGGGAGGAAAGCGAUACCGUGGGUAUCGCGCUCUUGGAUGGGCUCAUGUCCUAUCAGCUUGUUGGUGAGGUAACGGCUCACCAAGGCUUCGACGGGUAGCUGGUCUGAGAGGACGAUCAGCCACACUGGCACUGCGACACGGGCCAGACUCCUACGGGAGGCAGCAGUCGGGAAUUUUGGGCAAUGGGCGAAAGCCUGACCCAGCAACGCCGCGUGAAGGAUGAAAUCCCUCGGGAUGUAAACUUCGCAAGAACGGGAAGAAUAAGUGGAAGCUAAUACCUUCCAUGAUGACGGUACCGUUUGUAAGCUCCGGCUAACUCCGUGCC
rnacentral:rRNA from 1 species